AUUCCAAUCGAACCCGGAGAUAGCUGGUUCUCCCCGAAAUAGCUUUAGGGCUAGCCUCGAUUAAGGAUUACCGGGGGUAGAGCUCUGAUUGGGCUAGGGGGCCACAAAGCUUACCGAACCCUAUCAAACUUCGAAUACCGGAGAAUCGCAAUCGGGAGUCACACAGUGGGAGAUAAGUUUCAUUGUGGAAAGGGAAACAGCCCAGACCAACGACUAAGGUCCCGAAGUGACGGUUAAGUGGGAAAGGAUGUGCAACUGCACAGACAACCAGGAUGUUGGCUUAGAAGCAGCCACACAUUUAAAGAGUGCGUAAUAGCUCACUGGUCGAGUGGAUGUGCGCCGAAAAUGUAGCGGGGCUAAACCGAACACCGAAGUCUUGGGAUGGCGAAAGCCAUCGGUAGGGGAGCAACGAAUACGGGCAGAAGCGGAAUCGCGAGAGACCGUGGACCGUAUUGGAGAGAGAAUGCCGGCAUGAGUAGCGAGAGCGAAGUGAGAAUCUUCGCCGUCGAAAGCCUAAGGUUUCCUGAGGAAGGUUCGUCCACUCAGGGUAAGUCGGGACCUAAGCCGAGGACAGAAGUCGUAGGUGAUGGACAACAGGUUGAUAUUCCUGUACCGCCGACACACGUUUGACAGAGGCAGUGACACAGAAGGAUAGGCAGAGCGGCCGAAUGGUAGAGGCCGUCCAAGCGGCAAGGGAGCGUCGUAGUGAAGUACGCGGCGCAAUUCUGAGCCGUGAUGGGGACUGAACACGAGUAGGGAAGCUGCUGAAUCCACGCUGGCGAGAAAAGCUGCUAUGGAGUGUGAAGGCGCCCGUACCGCAAACCGACACAGGUAGGCGAGGAGAGAAUCCUAAGACGAGCGGGAGAACCCUUGUUAAGGAACUCGGCAAAAUGACCCCGUAACUUCGGGAUAAGGGGAGCCUCGCAAGAGGCCGCAGAGAAUAGGCCCAAGCGACUGUUUAGCAAAAACACAGGUCUGUGCGAAGUAGAGAUACGACGUAUACGGGCUGACGCCUGCCCAGUGCCGGAAGGUUAAGGGGAAGUGUUAGGGCAACCGAAGCACGGAACUUAAGCCCCGGUGAACGGCGGCCGUAACUAUAACGGUCCUAAGGUAGCGAAAUUCCUUGUCGGGUAAG
rnacentral:rRNA from 1 species